UGUCCUACGGGGGGCAGCAGUGGGGAAUAUUGGGCAAUGGGCGCAAGCCUGACCCAGCAACGCCGCGUGAAGGAAGAAGGCUUUCGGGUUGUAAACUUCUUUUAAGAGGGAAGAGUAGAAGACGGUACCUCUUGAAUAAGCCACGGCUAACUACGUGCCAGCAGCCGCGGUAAUACGUAGGGAGCGAGCGUUGUCCGGAAUUACUGGGUGUAAAGGGAGCGUAGGCGGGGAUGCAAGUUGGGCGUCAAAACUACCGGCUCAACUGGUAGUCGCACUCAAAACUGCAGCUCUUGAGUG
rnacentral:rRNA from 1 species